rnacentral:rRNA from 1 species
ACCUGACUGCUAUCGGGUUGGGACUAAGACAUGUUAGUCGAGCGACUCUAAGCCCGGUAGAGACGCGGCAUACGGCUCAGUAACACGUGGCUAACCUACCUUCAGGACGGAGACAACCCCGGGAAACUGGGGCUAAUCCCCGAUAGGUGAAGACGCCUGGAAUGACUCUUCACUCAAAGGGUGUUGAGAGCAUGCUUUUCAACGUCGCCUGAAGAUGGGGCCGCGACCGAUCAGGCCGUUGGCGAGGUAAAGGCUCACCAAACCAAUAACCGGUACGGGCCGUGAGAGCGGGAGCCCGGAGAUGGGCACUGAGACAAGGGCCCAGGCCCUACGGGGCGCAGCAGUCGCGAAAACUCCGCAAUGCACGAAAGUGUGACGGGGCUACCCCGAGUGCCGUCCGCUGAGGAUGGCUUUUCCUUGGUAUAACUAGCCGGGGGAAUAAGGAGAGGGCAAGACUGGUGUCAGCCGCCGCGGUAAUACCAGCUCUCCGAGUGGUAGGGAUGAUUAUUGGGCUUAAAGCGUCCGUAGCCGGCUUAGCAAGUUUCCUGUUAAAUUCAGCGACCUAAUCGUUGAGCCGCGGGAAAUACUACUAGGCUAGGAGGCGGGAGAGGUCGACGGUACUUCUGGGGUAGGGGUGAAAUCCUAUAAUCCCCGGAGGACCACCAGUGGCGAAGGCUGUCGACUAGAACGCGCUCGACGGUGAGG